AGACGCCGCGCGCCGCUUCCUGUUGUCAGUGCCUCAAGAGCCGCAGCUUCUGCUGCAAGCCGUGGGGUCGCCUCGCCGGGAGCGCCGCCACCUGCUCCUGUUCCCUGUGGUGUACAUGAAGUAAGAGGACUAUACUAGCUAAAACUGGGACAAAUCCUUCCCAUGUUGAUCAUUUAAGAAAGGACAGUUCUGAAACAUGGGCAUCAUGGAGAAGACCUGGGCUCGGCUGAUUGGAGCUGUAGAUCUAUCUGGUGUCAUGUGAGUCUCCUUGAGCGCUGCUGCCUGAGUGGAAAUGCUCGAAGUGGAGAAUGGGCUGGACCCUAGGGCUGCCAUCCAGGUCAUCAAGAAGAGGCUGGUGGGAUCUGUGAAGGCUCUGCAGAAGCAGUAUGUAUCUCUGGACACAGUGGUCACCAGUGAAGAUGGAGAUGCCAACACCAUGUGCAGUGCCCUGGAGGCUGUGUUUAUCCAUGGCUUGCAUGGCAAGCACAUCCGUGCUGAGGCCGGAGGGAAAAGGAAGAAGCACACUCAUCAGAAGCCUCUGCCUCAGCCUGUUUUCUGGCCCCUUCUGAAGGCUGUCACCCACAAACACAUCAUCUCAGAGUUGGAACACCUGGUCUUCAUCAAUACAGAUGUAGGCCGCUGCCGGGCCUGGCUGCGGCUGGCCCUCAAUGAUGGUCUGAUGGAGUGCUAUCUGAAAUUGCUCCUGCAGGAACCCGCAAGGUUGUGCGAGUACUAUCAGCCCACAGCCCUGCUGCGAGAUGCCGAAGAGGGCGAGUUCCUACUGAGCUUCCUGCAAGGACUGACAUCCUUGUCCUUUGAACUCUCCUACAAGUCAGCCAUCUUAAAUGAAUGGACACUCACCCCACUGUCUCUCUCUGGGCUUUGUCCCCUCUCUGAACUUGACCCUCUCACUACCUCUGGGGCGGAAUUACAGCGGAAGGAGUCUCUGGAUUCAAUCUCUCAUUCCUCAGGCUCUGAGGACAUCGAAGUCCAACACUCUGGCCAUAAGAUCCGCAGGAACAGGAAACUCACUGCCUCUUCCCUCAGCCUGGACACAGCCAGCUCAUCCCAGCUAUCCUGCAGCCUAAACUCUGAUAGCUGCCUGCUGCAGGAGAAUGGCUCCAAGAGUCCAGACCAUUCUGAGGAACCCAUGUCCUGCGACUCAGAUCUGGGCCCGGCAAAUGCUGAUGACUCUGACAGGUCUCUGCAAGAGGUGUUGUCAGAAUUCAGCAAAGCCCAGGUAAACUCUGUGCCAAGCAGCGGACCAAGCCAAGAGACAGAGAGCUCCACGCUCCAGACCCCCCUCUCCCUCCACAGCCUAGCUACCAGCACACAUCUGCACUUUGAGGAGCCUGCAGAGCUCCUUCCUGCCCACGCAUCCUCUGGGACCCCAAGUGAUGGCCACAAGCAUCAGCUGCUUCCCCAGGAGACCCCAGACGUGCAGCAGCUGGGCACUGCCCAAGCUUCCCCUGCAGGGAGCACUUCAGACCAGCAGCCUUCCAGCCCUGUGGGUGGAACAGCUGGCCAAGGGAGCGGUCAGCCAAAGGCCCUGGAGUAUGGCAGAGUUGGACCGAAGCUUGUGGUUUCCUCUCCUACCAGUCCGAAAAACAAGAGCUGGAUUUCUGAAGAUGACUUCUGCCGACCUCCCCAGGAGCAUGCUCCCAAGAGUGCUUCUGAUCUCUUCACAUCUCCUUUGCAAGGGACUCCAGAGUCAAGGCCUGCUCUCCAUAGGUGUUUUUCUCAAGGACCAAGAAAGAGCUGUUCCCUGGGGGCAUUAGACAAAGCGUGUGUGCCUUCACCAGGCUGGAGGAAUUCCAGAGCAGCCCCAGCAGCCCUGCUGGCACAAGAUCAUAAAAAUUUCUGCGUGGUGCAUCGGAGGCAGAUGGGCCUGUCUAACCCGUUCCGGGGCCUCUUGAAGCUGGGCACAGUAGCCCGGCGAGGCGCCAUGGGCAUCUGGAAGGAGUUCUUUUGUGAGCUGUCCCCUCUGGAGCUCCGCCUCUACCUGAGUGAUGAGGAGCGCACCUGUGUGGAGAGCUGCUCCUUGCUGCGAUGCGAGGCCGUGGGGCCAGCCCACAGUGAUGGACGGUUUGAGUUGGUCUUCUCGGGCAAGAAGCUGCCACUGCGUGCCUCCUCCCAGGACGAGGCCGAAGACUGGCUUGACCGUGUGCGGGAGGCUCUGCAGAAGGUGCGUCCUCAGCAGGAGGAUGAGUGGGUGAAUGUCCAGUACCCAGACCUACCUGAGGAUGACCUAGAGGCUCCACCAGACAGCCUCCCCCCUCACUCAGCCCUGCUCCCAGAGCCUGCAGGUGGCCAGAGCAUGCAGCUGGACUGGACAUCUGCCCAGGUUCCAGAGCCAGAUGCUAUCAAAGAGUCCCUUUUGUACCUGUAUACAGACCGGACCUGGGUCCCCUACAUUUUUUCCCUGUCCUUGGAGUCUCUAAAAUGUUUCCGUGUAAGAAAUAACGAGAAGAUGCUAAGUGACAGUCAUGGAGUGGAGACCAUCCGAGACAUCUUGCCAGACGCCAGCCUUGGGGGCCCAGCCUUCUUCAAAAUCAUCACGGCCAAAGCCGUCCUGAAACUGCAGGCCAAGAACACUGAGGAGGCCGCCCUGUGGAGAGACCUGGUCCGAAAGGUGCUGGCAUCUUACUUGGAGUCAGCUGAGGAGGCUGUGACCCUCGGGGGAAGUCUGGAUGAAAAUUGUCAGGAGGUGCUGAAGUUUGCCACCCGGGAGAAUGGCUUCCUGCUCCAGUACCUCGUGGCCAUCCCCACUGAGAAGGGCCUUGACUCCCAGGGCUGCUUCUGCGCAGGCUGCUCCCGUCAGAUUGGCUUCUCCUUUGUACGACCCAAGCUCUGUGCCUUCUCUGGCCUGUAUUACUGUGACUUCUGCCACCAAGACGAUGCCUCAGUGAUUCCAGCCAGGAUCAUCCACAACUGGGACCUCACCAAGCGCCCGGUCUGCCGGCAGGCCCUGAAGUUCCUGGCACAGAUCCGGGCCCAGCCCCUUAUCAACCUGCAGCUGGUGAACGCCUCUCUGUAUGAGCAUGUGGAGCGCAUGCACCUCAUUGGCAGGAGCCGGGAACAGCUGAAGCUUCUGGGGGACUACCUGGGCCUGUGCAGAAGUGGUGCCCUGAAGGAGUUGAAGCAAAAGGCUAAGCCACAGGAAUUAUCUCUUGGAGUCUCCUCACAAAUUCAGUGUUGCUGACCUCCAGCAGAUUGCAGAGGGGGUGUAUGAAGGAUUCCUCAAAGCCCUGAUUGAGUUCGCCUCCCAGCACGUCUACCACUGUGACCUGUGCACCCAGCGAGGCUUCAUCUGCCAGAUCUGCCACCACCACGACAUCAUCUUUCCCUUUGAGUUUGACACCACAGUCAGGUGUGCUGAAUGCAGAACUGUCUUCCAUCAGAGCUGCCAGGCUGUGGUGAGGAAGGGCUGUCCCCGCUGUGCCCGCCGGCGCAAGUACCAGGAACAGAAGAACAUGGUCAGCUAACCCUGCUGUCCUGACCUUCCAAGGCCAUCCAGCUGGGUUUGUCGUCAGCCUAGGCUUCUCUGUCUCCCUGUAAGGAAGACUCUCAGGUGUGCCCAGAGCUCUCACCUCCAGAGAAGGCCCAGGAAGUCCCAGUGAUGCCCCCUGGCCCCUCAGUACCCUUCUGCUCCAGGAGGUGGGCACCCACCAGGUGCCUCUGCCCAGGGCCUGUCAUCAGGCCUGGCUUAUCUAGCUGUCAUGCACCUCCAUUAGGGCUGUUCAUACACUGUGGAAUGAGGCUUGGUGAGUACUUUCAACUCACAUUCCUGAAGAAAAGGUCUAGUUUUUUAAGGUGGGUUCCCCCUCCCCUUCAUAUUUAAACAGAAAAUAUUUUUUUAUUCUUGACCCUACCCAAGUCACCUAAGAAAUGCAACCCUUCACCCAAGCAGAUGGGCAAGAGCAGCCCCAACCCAGAGACAGGCAUGGGACUGGGUGGACAGGCCUCUGUGGACUGGGUGGACAGGCCUCUGGACUGGGUGCCUUUCCUUUGCCCUUUUUGGUACUUUCUACCAAGAGUGCAAGUGUUAUGUGCCAAUGGCCCAUCGUUGCAGGGCUACUCAGUUUCAGCGUCCACCUUCCCUCCCCUCUUCGUGCUCUCACCUGGAAAGUGUCCCGUCCUCUGGCAGACCCCCUGGCUCCUUUCUGGCCUGGGAGCACAGCACAGCAGGAGCAGGGGGAUGACCAACACCAGCACUGUCAGCACUUUGAGCCUUCCUUGUUCAGGAAGACCAUGAUCUUGCCCACCUCAUCCCCAUGACCUCCUUAGUCCUGAAUGUGGUAGUGCCAACCCCUGCCAGGGUAGAAUAGGCUAGACACCAGAGAGGCUCCAAGGUCCAACUGUGGAGAAUAGGUGCCAUCCUUUGGCUACAGAGAGAGAGAGGGAUGUGCUCAGAAGCUGCCCUGCAGAAACUUCAUCAGCCCUAGUCUCACAAAGCCAUGAGAUCAUAAAGCUUCAGUUUGCACCCAGUAGGACACUAGUGAGCUUCCUAGGAGCAGGGUUGCCCCUAAGAGGCUCUUGGGGCUGGUAUGGCAUCACCGAUUGUUCUUGAGGUGAUGUUCAUAGCCUUGAGGCAUUUUGGGGAAUAGGUAUGUACUGUGCUAUCCCCACCUCUCCUGGACCCCGCAACCCUUCUGGCUAUCCCAGAGUACUCAACUUAAAGGUGGAGGCUGCAGGUGGAAUGGAGGGCCUCCCUGGAAAUGUGCCUGUCAUGUCUAGAGCAGAGGUUUCCCACCCUCCCUGAGGUGAAUGAGCUGAGUCACCUCCUGAAGCUUGAAGAAUUGUGCAAUAGCAGAGGAGGCUGUAGGCAGGGAGCAGAGGCUGCCACACAGUUCCUAAGUCCCUAUUAUGGAAGACGGCGCUCUCCAGAGGUUGGGAAACCAAAGCUUCCAGAACCACGCAGUGUAUCCAUAUCUGCACUCCACAGCCAGCAUUAACAGUUCCCCCAAAAUGACAGAGCCUCUUUGCUUUGGAUCCUGAAUGGGCAGGAGUCUGUCUCCUUGGGCUUGUUACAUGAGAGUAUUCCAGAACCUGCCUGAGGCAGCUGGAUCCCUUCCACUGCCUGGACUGUACACGUUAGAGCUGGCCCUCACCCUUUCCUAAGCUGCUGAUGUGCUCAAAUGAGUCACUUACCCCGCCACCAGAAGAGCUCACGUGAACCUCGGCGGUGCCCACACUAUUUAAGAGAUGUGAUUUUAUGCAAUAUUCUGACAAGUGGGCCUUGGCAAUGUAGAGAAGGCACUGCUUCUGUGCUGUUCGGCUGAUUUUGCAGUAAAGAGCUGGUCUUUCUAACCAAA